rnacentral:rRNA from 1 species
UACGUAGGGGGCGAGCGUUGUCCGGAUUUAUUGGGCGUAAAGAGCUCGUAGGCGGCUUGGCAAGUCGGGUGUGAAACCUCCAGGCUUAACCUGGAGACGCCACUCGAUACUGCCAUGGCUAGAGUCCGGUAGGGGACCACGGAAUUCCUGGUGUAGCGGUGAAAUGCGCAGAUAUCAGGAGGAACACCGGUGGCGAAGGCGGUGGUCUGGGCCGGCACUGACACUGAGGAGCGAAAGCGUGGGUAGCAAACAGG